CGAGCCGCGCGGCCGCCCCCGCCCCAGCCCCGCUCCCAAGCCUGCCGCCCCGCCAGACCCGGCGUGGUCCGAAGGCCCGGGGGGCCCGGUGCAGCCCCGCGGCCGCCCGAGCGCUCCUUCCGGUCGGGCAUGGCGGGGCCGGAUCCGCGGGAGCUGGGAGGAGGCAUUUCCGAGCACUCGGGGCUGCCUGGGCCUUGCUCCGCAGCUCCGCCUCUCGGGGCUGCUGCCCGGGGAUCGGCCCGGAGCGGGCUCUGGACCCGGGAAACUGGACGCUGUGCACACAGCACGGCGGAGGAUGGAUGCGUGGUGAUCCAGGCGCUUGCCAACCAGGAAAUACCCAUCGCUUCGCGCAGGGCUCCGGCCUCUUCCUACCCUUCUCUCUCCCUCUCGCCCGAACCGGAUUUAAACCGUGGGGUGGGGACAGCUUUAGGGAAGUGGAGGUGUGAACGGUUUACACGCGGACACGUCUUCACCCUGCACGCACUCGGUCCCCAGGACUCCCUUGCAACUUUCUCCGCGCUCCAAUGGUAGACGCGGGGAAGUGUGGAAAGUCUGAUAAACCUAGAAGAUUGCUUGGCAAAUUGGAGAUUGUUUCAAGGUUUUUAUCUGUAUUGUGAUUUUUUUUUUUUUGCCCGAGUAGUUGUGUAUUUACUAAAUUUAAAAUAUGUGGAGAACGUUUGGCUGUAGCUGAUCGGUGACAAAAUGGGAGUACGCUGCUUUUAAGGGGCAGACGUUAGAUUUUGUUUGUAGUGAACAAAACUUUGUUUUGAUUAGCCAAUUAAAAACUCUAAAUUAGGCUGUUGUAUUUUCAGUCACUGCUAGAAUCUAAUUGCAUGUGUAUGCGAGUUUUUUUUUCCAGAGAAACGUUGAAUCAGUAACUUUUUUUCUGCGACACUUGUGAAUUUUCUCUAAGAUAUUUUUGGUUUCCUUUAAAUUUCAGCAAGUAUAGUAGUUUAAAUAGUAUUUGCCUUUUUUUUUUUUUUUUAACAGUUGAGUUUCCAUGUAAAAUCUGGAACUUGUUGUUAGUUUUAGAUCGACCAUAUAGACAGAAAUUUAUGUUCUACUUUUUGAACUUUCUAUUUUAUACUGCUACUAAGAGGGAAGACUUAGUUUAUAAUAUAAUCAGUUGUAAGUGUACAAAACUAGCAUAAUCCACAAGUUUUGUGCAUGGCAGUUUCAAUGAGAAAAAUUUUAAAGCUUAUUUAUUUUUAUUCUAUGUGUCAGUUUUGCCAGCAUGAAUGUAGUAUGUGUAUCAUGUAUAUUCUGAGUAUCUUAGAAGAGGGUGUCAGAUCCCCUGGAACUAGAGUGACAGAAAGUUGUAAGCUACCCAGUGUGAAUACUGGGAACCAAAGUUAGGUCUUAACUGCUUGAGCUAUCUCUCCAGCCCCCAGUUCAGUGAAAUUUUAUUGUUAGGAAUGCCAUAUUUAGUUACUUCAUUCGUUCAUUCAUUCAUUCAGUUCUGGGGAUUGAACUCAGGCCAUUCUGUGUGGUAUGUACAUAUUCCACCACUGAAUGGAACACUUCUUUUUUUGAAACAGGGUUUCCUCUGUGUAGCCCUGGCUGUCCUGGAACUUGUUCUUUAGACCAGGCUGGCCUUGAAUUCUGAGAUCCACCUGCCUCUGCCUCCAGAGUGCUGGGAUUGAAGGUGUGCCCCACCACAUCUGGCUACACCUGGAAUGUUUUAAUUUUUAUGUACAUAAAAUAUUUAAUAAAAGGAAACUGGUCCGUUCUUCCCCCCCCCCCCCCACACACACACAUUGGAGAUAGAGCCCAUGGCUUUGCAGAUGCUGUGCACGGCCGUAUCUCUGCACUCCACUCUUAUCCCAAAAGGAUGCGGUGUGAAGACACGGCACGUGUGCGAUGGUUGCCGCACUGAAGCGGGAGAGUAGGAGUCAGUGCACGUGUACAUUGAAACAGAUCCUUUACUUCUAAGUUUCUUAGAACUAUUUCUUGAAACCUAGGUCUUCACCUUGGCCAGAUAAUAGGGCUCUAAUCAAGUGACUUCUUUUUUCUUUUCUUCCAAGAAGGCAGAGUAGCUAGUGAAGAGAGAAUGAUACAGAAGGAGGAGACAAGUUGUCGAGGGAAGAUUGCUGAGUGAUGUUUAAAAAACCACUUGUGGUGUUGAGUUAUUAAUUAAAGAACAAAUUGCAGGAGCUAAAGCUUGCCCUUUAGACCAUUUUCUGCCAAGACCUUACUGAAGGAAUACUAAUAUGACUUGAAACAGUAUGUGCCAGGUCCUGUGUGGUUUUCCAUAUAUUAACUGACAUUAAGUGUAUGUUGAUAACAGGGAGGGCAGAGAAGUAGCUUGGUUGUGGUGUGCUUUCCUAACAUGUGCAAGACCUCAGUUUUACAUCAUAGCACCCUAAAAUAAAUAACCAUGGCAGGAGAAUGAUGCACCCCAACAGACUAGGAAAUAGGCCUCGAGAGGUAGUCUUGUGAAGUUGCACCCAGUAUGAAUAGAGGUGGAAUUUGACCCUAAGCCUUCUUCUAGUUAAUAAGUCUUUUGAAGAAACAAAUUUUGUGCAUGUUUUUGUAUAUGGGUUUGGCUGUGUGCACGUGUGCUUAUGGAGGUCAGAGGUUGGUAGUAAGUUUGUCCUCAGUUGCUCCCUGCCUUUGCUGGUGAGAGGCCAUCUGAAGCUCACUAAGUAAGCUAGCCUGGCUAGCCAGUGAGCCCCAGGGAUCCUUGCGGCUCUUCCUCCCAAGUGCUGGGAUACAGGUGUGCACCACCUCCCCUGGCUUCUUCCAUGGAUACUGGAGAGCUUUACCAACUGAUGUGUUUUCCUAGGCCCACAUUGGUGUCUUUAGUCAGCUCAGCUUGUUUUCUUGAGAACAGGACCAUAAAGCCCUGGAUGGAACUUUUAAGUUCACGAGGAAGUGUUUGGGUGAGUCUAGAUCCACAUUGUUUGUACAAGCCUUAGGAAGGCAUAGGGCUCGUGCACAGUGGACAGGUGGCCAAGCAUUCAUGCAAGACUGCACUCCCUUGUUUCAGUGCCACUAAGCCACCAUCUUGAAAUUAUUUAUGAACAAAGGAUCUUAUACUUUUCUUGCUUGCUAUUUUUAAAAUAUUUUUUAUUUGUAAAAAUUUAUUAUUUAUGCAUAUGUGUGCAUUUGCUCUUGGAGGCCAUAGAAGGGUGUUGGAUCCCCUGAAACUGGAGUUACAGGGAACCAAACUGUGUGGUCCUUAGGAAGAGCAGCUAGCACUCUUACCUGCUGAGCCAUCUCUCCAGCCGUUUUACUGUUGCUUUUUGGAGGAUGGAGUCUUAGUAUUGGCUAAACUGAUCAUGAAUUCUUGGUUGGACUUAAGUGAUUUUCCUGCCUUGGGUUUUUGAAUAGCUGGGGCAUGCAUCAUUAUCCCUGGUAGAUAGUUUUAUUUUAUAGUGGGUCCCCAAAAUUAGCUGGUUCUAAGAAGGAAUGACUGUCCUGUUAUCCCCUAUAGCCCCCACAUGCCCUUUUUUCUGUACCCACUUAACUAGGGCUUGGCUUACCAUUUGACCCACAUAGAGCAACUUUUUGGUUACACAUGGAUUUGCUUAUUUUCUUUGGUGGUUUGGGAAGUGAGUGUAUGUGCCGCAGUGGGCAUGUGGAGGCCAGAGGAAAACUUGUGGGAGAUGGUUCUUUCCUUCUGCAUGUAGACUCGGACAGGCUUAGCAGCCAGUACCUUUAUCCAUUGAGCUGGCCGGCCAUCUUGUUGGCACCCUUCUCCCACCCCCUGUAUUCUUUAUGUGCUUAUAUUUAUCCAGAGUUCUUUCAGCAUUCUUGGAAAAAUGAUGAGAAGGAAAUGAGCUGUUGACUUCUGGAGAAUCUGCUAAUUUUAGUUUUUAAAGGUUGGACUGUAUAGAUUAUAGGACGCUGUUUGAAAUUAAAAUUAACGAAUACUUUAAUUUAUCAAAGACGAUCUCUUAUUACAUCACUGAAGGGUCAUAAAAAGUUCUCUUUAAAGCAGACA